rnacentral:rRNA from 1 species
UACGUAGGGUGCGAGCGUUAAUCGGAAUUACUGGGCGUAAAGCGUGCGCAGGCGGUGAUGUAAGACCGAUGUGAAAUCCCCGGGCUCAACCUGGGAAUUGCGAUGGAGACUGCAAGGCUAGAAUCUGGCAGAGGGGGGUAGAAUUCCACGUGUAGCAGUGAAAUGCGUAGAGAUGUGGAGGAACACCGAUGGCGAAGGCAGCCCCCUGGGUCAAGAUUGACGCUCAU